CCUACGGGUGGCAGCAGUGGGGAAUAUUGCACAAUGGGGGAAACCCUGAUGCAGCAACGCCGCGUGAAGGAAGACGGUUUUCGGAUUGUAAACUUCUGUUCUUAGUGAAGAAUAGUGACGGUAGCUAAUGGACAAGCCCCCGCCCACUACGUUCCAGCAGCCGCGGUAAUACGGUGGUGGCAAGCCUUUUCCGGAAUUACUGGGUGUAAAGGGGCGGCAGGCGGGAAGGUAAGUCAGCUGUGAAAUCUACGGGCUUAACUUGUAGACUGCAGUUGAAACUGGUUUUCUUGAGUGAAGGAGAGGUCGGCGGAAUUCCGAGUGUAGCGGUGAAAUGCGUAGAUAUACGGAGGAACACCGGUGGCGAAGGCGGCCAACUGGGCUGUAACUGACGCUGAGGCGCGAAAGUGUGGGGAGCAAACAGGAUUAGAUACCCCUGUAGUC
rnacentral:rRNA from 1 species